rnacentral:rRNA from 1 species
ACGUAGGUGGCAAGCGUUGUUCGGAAUUAUUGGGCGUAAAGGGCGCGUAGGCGGCCUUGUAAGUCAGCUGUGAAAGCCCGGGGCUCAACCCCGGAGGGUCGGCUGAUACUGCAAGGCUAGAGUACGGAAGAGGUAGCUGGAAUUCCCGGUGUAGUGGUGAAAUGCGUAGAUAUCGGGAGGAAGGCCGGUGGCGAAGGCGGCGCUCUGGAACAUUUCUGACGCUGAGGCUCGAAAGCGUGGGGAGCAAACAGGA